rnacentral:rRNA from 1 species
UGGGGAAUAUUGGACAAUGGGGGGCAACCCUGAUCCAGCAAUGCCGCGUGUGUGAAGAAGGUCUUCGGAUUGUAAAGCACUUUCGACGGGGACGAUGAUGACGGUACCCGUAGAAGAAGCCCCGGCUAACUUCGUGCCAGCAGCCGCGGUAAUACGAAGGGGGCUAGCGUUGCUCGGAAUGACUGGGCGUAAAGGGCGUGUAGGCGGUUUACACAGUCAGAUGUGAAAUCCCCGGGCUUAACCUGGGAGCUGCAUUUGAUACGUGUAGACUAGAGUGUGAGAGAGGGUUGUGGAAUUCCCAGUGUAGAGGUGA